UAGCUCAGUGGUAGAGCACAUACUUAGCACGCAUGAGGUCUUGGGUUCAAUCCCCAG
rnacentral:tRNA from 1 species